rnacentral:tRNA from 1 species
GCUAUCUUGGCAGAUUAGUGCAAUAAAUUUAGAAUUUAGGGAUGUAGUUUUUACUACAGUUAGCA